rnacentral:rRNA from 1 species
GCGCUUUUGGAGCGGCCGAUGUCUGAUUAGCUAGUUGGUGAGGUAAAGGCUUACCAAGGCUUCGAUCAGUAGCUGGUCUGAGAGGACGACCAGCCACACUGGGACUGAGACACGGCCCAG